CCUACGGGAGGCAGCAGUGAGGAAUAUUGGUCAAUGGGCGAGAGCCUGAACCAGCCAAGUCGCGUGAGGGAGUACUGCCCUAUGGGUUGUAAACCUCUUUUGUCGGGGAGCAAAAGCCGGACGUGUCCGGCUGUGAGAGUACCCGAAGAAAAAGCAUCGGCUAACUCCGUGCCAGCAGCCGCGGUAAUACGGAGGAUGCGAGCGUUAUCCGGAUUUAUUGGGUUUAAGGGGUGCGCGGGCGGAGUUUUAAGUGAGCGGUAAAAUCGUGGGGCUCAACCACAUCCAGCCGUUGAAAGUGGGGGUGUGGAGUGUGCGAGAGGUAUGCGGAAGGCGUGGUGUAGGGGUGAAAGGCAUAGCUAUCACGCAGAACCCC
rnacentral:rRNA from 1 species